rnacentral:rRNA from 1 species
GAUGAACGCUGGCGGCGUGCCUAAUACAUGCAAGUCGAGCGAACGGACGAGAAGCUUGCUUCUCUGAUGUUAGCGGCGGACGGGUGAGUAACACGUGGAUAACCUACCUAUAAGACUGGGAUAACUUCGGGAAACCGGAGCUAAUACCGGAUAAUAUUUUGAACCGCAUGGUUCAAAAGUGAAAGACGGUCUUGCUGUCACUUAUAGAUGGAUCCGCGCUGCAUUAGCUAGUUGGUAAGGUAACGGCUUACCAAGGCAACGAUGCAUAGCCGACCUGAGAGGGUGAUCGGCCACACUGGAAGUGAGACACGGUCCAGACGCCUAGGGGAGGCAGCAGUAGGGAAACUUCAGCAAUGGGCGAAAGCCUGACGGAGCAACGCCGCGGGAGGGAGGAAGGUCGUCGGAUCGUAAAACACUGUUAUUAGGGAAGAACAUAUGUGUAAGUAACUGUGCACAUCUUGACGGGACAUAAGCAGAAAGCCACGGCUAAAUACGUG